GGACAUAGAUUCAGUGGUAGAGUGCUUGCCUAGCAUGCAAGAGUCCCUGGGUUUGAUCCUCAGUAGUGCA
rnacentral:tRNA from 1 species